GGAUUUUGCCCUGGGGCGGGGAGCCUGAUCAGCCAUGCCGCGUGCAGGAAGAAGGCCUUCUGGGUCGUAAACUGCUUUUGCCGGGGGAUAAAACACCCCUGCGGGGGAAAUUGAAGGUACCCGGUGAAUAAGCCACGGCUAACUACGUGCCAGCAGCCGCGGUAAAAA
rnacentral:rRNA from 1 species